CAAACGAGUAAUAUAGGAAGGAAGUUGAGGAAACCCUGCAAAAGUCAACGAGUCUUCUUCUCCAACAAGAAAAGACCCUUAUUCACAUACGCACAAAUAGAGGAGCCUGUAGCUUUCCUCGUGAUCUUCUACCAGCCUCUUCCUUACGGGUUGAUCUGUAAUGUAGCAGUAAGCAGCUGUAAUUAUUUAAUUAGCCGUCGGUGAAGAGGUCAAGUUUCAGUUCAGAA